CAUGCAAUGUUCCCACGUGAAGCAAGGCACAUGGCCGAUGGACUACUGCCCCACAAUACUUUACGAUUGGUAGCGGCAGAUGCUCGUGACAACAUGCCAGGCAGACACGUUCCAAGUCAUAGCCAGAUCAGAUUCUUGUGGAACACUCAUGCAUACACCCCGACUUGCCGAUUGAGACCAAAGGACAUGUCCCACGAAGAGCAACUACGUCGGCAUAUCACGAUUGUUGACGGCCGCUACACAGCAGUUCCGGAAAUGCGCCAAGCAAGCUCGACUCAAGAAAACUGCAGUGAGGAGAGUCGACUGCGGUCUGAAGCAGAGAGACUAUGGCUUACGACGUCAGCUGACAGCAGUGCCACUGCACAGCCGAGUUCAAGCAGUGGAGCACUUUUGCUGCACAGUGCUAUGUGAGUGCCCAGUAACUAUUGCGCAUUUGAUUGAAAGAAGCCACGCGUGUGAUAGUCAUUACAUACAGAUCAAUGAUUCCUAAGGCUAAUUCUCUUUCUCAAAUACUCUGCAGUGUUUCAACAAAAUGAGUCAUUCUGAAAACAAUUAUUCUUGAAUUGUGCCUAAUAAAUAUCAUGAACCUG